GAUCAUUACAAGUUGACCCCGGCCCUUUCGGGCCGGGAUGUUCACAACCCUUUGUUGUCCGACUCUGUUGCCUCCGGGGCGACCCUGCCUCCGGGCGGGGGCCCCGGGUGGACAUUUCAAACUCUUGCGUAACUUUGCAGUCUGAGUAAAUUUAAUUAAUAAAUUAAAACUUUCAACAACGGAUCUCUUGGUUCUGGCAUCGAUGAAGAACGCAGCGAAAUGCGAUAAGUAAUGUGAAUUGCAGAAUUCAGUGAAUCAUCGAAUCUUUGAACGCACAUUGCGCCCCCUGGUAUUCCGGGGGGCAUGCCUGUUCGAGCGUCAUUUCACCACUCAAGCCUCGCUUGGUAUUGGGCGACGCGGUCCGCCGCGCGCCUCAAAUCGACCGGCUGGGUCUUUCGUCCCCUCAGCGUUGUGGAAACUAUUCGCUAAAGGGUGCCGCGGGAGGCCACGCCGUAAAACAACCCCAUUUCUAAGGUUGACCUCGGAUCAGGUAGGGAUACCCGCUGAACUUAAGCAUAUCAAUAAGCGGAGGAAAGGGCGAAUU
rnacentral:rRNA from 1 species